rnacentral:tRNA from 1 species
GGAGCUGUGCCUGAACUAAAGGGCCACUUUGAUAGGGUGGAACAUGGGGGUUAAAAUCCCCCCACCUCCU